GAUGAACGCUGGCGGCGUGCCUAAUACAUGCAAGUCGAGCGAACGGACGAGAAGCUUGCUUCUCUGAUGUUAGCGGCGGACGGGUGAGUAACACGUGGAUAACCUACCUAUAAGACUGGGAUAACUUCGGGAAACCGGAGCUAAUGCCGGAUAAUAUUUUGAACCGCAUGGUUCAAAAGUGAAAGACGGUCUUGCUGUCACUUAUAGAUGGAUCCGCGCUGCAUUAGCUAGUUGGUAAGGUAACGGCUUACCAAGGCAACGAUGCAUAGCCGACCUGAGAGGGUGAUCGGCCACACUGGAACUGAGACACGGUCCAGACUCCUACGGGAGGCAGCAGUAGGGAAUCUUCCGCAAUGGGCGAAAGCCUGACGGAGCAACGCCGCGUGAGUGAUGAAGGUCUUCGGAACGUAAAACUCUGUUAUUAGGGAAGAACAUAUGUGUAAGUAACUGUGCACAUCUUGACGGUACCUAAUCAGAAAGCCACGGCUAACUACGUG
rnacentral:rRNA from 1 species